UACGAAGGGGGCUAGCGUUGCUCGGAAUCACUGGGCGUAAAGCGCACGUAGGCGGAUCUUUAAGUCAGGGGUGAAAUCCUGGAGCUCAACUCCAGAACUGCCUUUGAUACUGGGGAUCUCGAGUCCGGAAGAGGUGAGUGGAACUCCGAGUGUAGAGGUGAAAUGCGUAGAUAUCGUAAGGAAGACCAGUGGCGAAGGCGGGUCUCUGGACAGUUCCUGACGCUGAGGCACGAAGGCCAGGGGAGCAAACGGG
rnacentral:rRNA from 1 species